AUAGCACCUGCCGCUUUUAUCUUCUACUCACCUACCCUGAGGUUUUCUUCAUUCUACACAAAUACAGAGAUCAGAGAUCGAUACAGAAAUAGAGCUGGUCAACAUCUUCCUGUUAGUAAAAAACCACUGCCAUCACAAUUUUGGGGGUCAUAAUCUUUUCAAAACCAUUCAUGUCUCUCUCUCUCUCUCUUUCACCUCGACGAUACAAAUCGAGAUCUAGGAGGCAAUCAGAAUAACAAUCUCAUUCAGUUGCUACCUGAUUCGUCUGAUUCUUUCUCAUCAGAUCAAUGUUUCAAAUUUAGCCGUUGUUGGUGCAUUUAUGACUAAACCGGAAGCUGGGUCUCCUGUCACCAAGUCUGAUUACGAUAGGCGGAAAUUAUCAACAGAUCCCUUCAUAGAAAGGAAAAUGGAGUUUUUGAUUGAAAGCAUGGAUGAUCUCUCAAUGGAACAUUAAAAGUUCUAUUUUUUCUGUCACGUCAACAAGCCCAGCAGCAAACAUGGCUUCAAAAGUGAAGGGCUGAAAUAAUGGCCCAUGUUAAGCAUAGAAGUUGGGGGGUAUUGGUACUGGAGAUAUUAGAAGUGCUAAUUUACGUUGGUAGCAAAAUGGAUGUGGAAAUUUAAAGACAGGCCUAUGACUUUAUGGGUUAAGGUGGUGGUUCCGAUCAAUGGUAGUUCAAGAGUGGUUGGGCAAUUCCCCCUGAAAAAAACGGUAUUUGUGAGAUGUGGAAAGACAUUUGCUCUGUUGAGAAAGAGUUUUAUGCUUUAAGCCUUCCAAUUGGCGACGGGGGUAAAACUAUGUUUUGGAUGGAUAACUGGGUCGAGGGCGGUCCCUUGUGGAGGAGAUUCCCGGCGGUUUUUGCACGCGUUAAAAAUAAAGAGGUUUUGGUUUCUUAGUGCAGAACGAUAUUGGGUGAGGAAUGGGUCUGGUCUUAGGAAUGGAAAACGAGUUCAGGUUCCGAAGCCUUCUGGUCACAGUUUGACACACUAGCAGCUUGUCUUGGGGCUGUGCAGAUCAGAGACGGGGCAGACAGAUGGACUUGGGGGUCUUAGUCUGAUGUAAACUUCACGAUGGCGGGUGUCUGAGCAGACGUUGUCAAAGCAGUGAACUUGGAUCCAGCUGAGGGAUGGGGAUCGUGGAACAAGUGGGUGCCUGCAAAGCUGAAUUUCUUUAGGUGGCGUGCCUUCGCUGACAGAACCCGGUCAAAACGACUCCGAGGCGAAGGGGCGUCACGCUUUCGGAUACCCUUUGUCGCUUAUGCAGGUUCAAAGAAGAAAGUGCGACCAUAUUUCUUGCCUCUUGCGUUCUCUCUCGCACUAUUUGGUGGAAUGUUAUGGUCAGACCAGAAUCCCUUUUCCCUCAGGUCAGUUUUAUUUAAAGGGUGUGGGGUUUGUUUGAUAAGCUCGUAGGGUAAAAGAUGUGGAAGAAAGUAGUGGGCAUGAUCUUCUUAACAACGGUUUGAAUAUGGAAACCAGAAAUGAGAAAGUGUUUCGCAACAAAAGGUUCAAGGUCUCGGAAGUGGUUGAAAGCAUAAAGGAAUACUCUUUUCUGUCGUUAGGGUGCAGGGCCUCUUUUAAAUUGCUGGACUGGAGUAAAUGGGGUGACUUAACGUAGGCGCUGUAAGACUAGAAGGUAUGGUUUGGAUGGGCUUGGAGGGGAUGAGCCGCCACAUAGGCGCCACGUAGGAGUGGCUUGGAGGGGAUGGACCUAGGGGGGUGGGGGAUGAACCCCUUUAUGUAUAUAUAUGUAUAUAUGUAUAGGUAUAUGUGAGAGGAAAAGGAAGAAGGAGGCACGGCGGACCCGGCUGUGGGUCGCCGUUUGUGACGGAAGCCGGAAGAGGGGGGCGGUGUGGGGGUCCGGCGCCGGGCCAAGCCGGCCCCCAUACCUUCUAGUCUAAUAUGAUGUCCUCUUUUAUGUUCUGUUUUGAACUGUAUGUUUGUUCGGGUGCCCAACGGCUAGCUGCCCCAAUGUUCUAUUAAUUUAAUAGAAUCUGGUUGUUCAAAAAAAAAAAAAACAUUUCCUCUGCUGUGCAAGUUAUUACACUAUUUAAUAUACAUUCAUCAGUUCUUUUCUCAUA